UACAGAGGUCCCGAGCGUUGUUCGGAUUCACUGGGCGUAAAGGGUGCGUAGGUGGUGAGGUAAGUCGGAUGUGAAAUCUCCGGGCUCAACCCGGAAAUGGCAUUGGAAACUACCUUGCUGGAGGAUUUGAGGGGGGGAUUGGAAUACUUGGUGUAGCAGUGAAAUGCGUAGAUAUCAAGUGGAACACCAGUGGCGAAGGCGAAUCCCUGGAAAAUACCUGACACUGAGGCACGAAAGCUAGGGGGAGCAAACAGG
rnacentral:rRNA from 1 species